CUACGGGGUGCUGCAGUGGGGAAUAUUGCACAAUGGAGGAAACUCUGAUGCAGCAACGCCGCGUGGAGGAUGACACUUUUCGGAGCGUAAACUCCUUUUAUAUAGGAAGAAGAUGACGGUACUAUAUGAAUAAGCGCCGGCUAACUCCGUGCCAGCAGCCGCGGUAAUACGGAGGGCGCAAGCGUUACUCAGAAUCACUGGGCGUAAAGAGCGUGUAGGCGGAUUAAAAAGUCAGAAGUGAAAUCCUAUAGCUUAACUAUAGAACUGCUUCUGAAACUCUUAAUCUAGAAUAUGGGAGAGGUAGAUGGAAUUUCUGGUGUAGGGGUAGAAUCCGUAGAGAUCAGAAGGAAUACCGAUUGCGAAGGCGAUCUACUAGAACAUUAUUGACGCUGAGACGCGAAAGCGUGGGGAGCAAACAGGAUUAGAUACCCCGGUAGUC
rnacentral:rRNA from 1 species